UUCUUUUUCCUUCUUCAAUUUGCAGAGAACUUCUAAGAGAGAGUUUGGAAGAAGAAGAGAAAUUUUACUAGAAUUUUUAGGUUGAAGAAGAGGAGGAGAACUCAAGCAAAGUGUAUCAAUGGCUGAAUUUUAGUUCAUUCUGCACAUCACUGGUUUUUAAUUCGGUUUGAACUCUUCAAAAGGAAUUAAGAGGACAGUUGGUUUUCACUCGAAAUCAAGAGGUCUCUGGUUUUUCUUGUAUUUCAGAGUGUAUCGGUAGAGUUAGAAUCUCUAUUUGGAACAAGUUAAAGAGGUCGUGUGCGCGCGAUUCUGGAAGUGAUUCUGUUUUGAGGGUUAUAUGUGUUUAUGCACGGGGAAUCAGAUUUAUAUGUCUUCAGGCCGAAAAGAAUUAAACCGAGCUUAUAGACCAAGGGUCUAGCCCAAGACUGUGAGUGACAAAACCAACUUUGAAAUAUUUUCCAUAACUGUUAUUAUGAUUGAAUGCGAUAAAUGUUUAUUUACGAAGCCAUGAAAGGUAUUUGAAUUUCAUGACUAUUUUCAAGUAUACAUUUGGAGACUAGAUUUCUUAAAGAAAUUUAUGCUAGCACGUAGAUAUUAAAUGUUUGGAAAGUAUUUAAACCACAAUAUUUUAAGCAAAGCAUGAAUUAGUAUGAAGUUUUGUUUUAAGAACUACAAUUUUCCACGAAAGAGCUGAGUAAAGUUCGAGCUUUGUGUAAAAUUUAUAAGCAGGCAUGUUUUAAUAUUUUAUGAUGAUUUAUGAAAUUUUCAUUAACUACAUGACUGAGAUCUUGAGCUUGAGGCUAGAGAUUACCGUGUGCACACUGGUUAGAUUUCGUUGUUGACGUUGAGUGUACUCCGUAACAACGAUGCUGUCGUGAGUGCUGGGCGGGCCCCACUACGACAAAGACGAUGGGAGUGCUGGGCGGGCCCCACUACAUCGUAGUGCUUGUAAACGUUGUUGUACUAGGUGUACCCUACACAACGUAGAUUCGUCAUGUUAGUUAAAAUGCUUCGAUAUACUUGAUAUGCCUUGCUAGAUUUCAAUGAUGAACAUGCUGAGUAUUUAAGGAAGCUAUUCUUACUAUUACACAUUUACAUUUAUGACUUGUAUAAACAGAUUUAUAUGUGUAAAGUUUUCACGUGCUCUUAUCUUUAAAUUCAUAGCUUUAAACUGAG